rnacentral:lncRNA from 1 species
GAUUACUACGAAUGUCUUGCCUUGAGAUGAUACCAUUCAAGUCACGUUAAAUCUGGCUACAGCUUUUCAGUGCAUCAAAGAAUACACACAUUAUAAAUAUUACAGAAGAAUCCAAAGGCGGGGUAACUUGAAUGACCCAAGGAAUAAUUUCCUGCGCUCAAGUUGGAAGAAUUUCUUCCAUUUUUACCUCUCUUGCUAAUAUAAAUACCUUGAUAUCCUCACCACCUUCUUUCAAGUCCUCUCAAGUAUUCUUCUUUUUUAAGUAGGACUCUAACUCAUUAGCUAGCUACUUGGUGGACAAGAGAAUGGAGUCUUCAGAUACUCUUAGGUAAAUUCUCUCUGCUCCUCCAUAACACACACGCGCACA